AAACCAUGGUUUGGGCAUUUGCGGAGAAGGGCUUUGAACCGUGCCAGUGCUUCAUAUAGAGGCUCAUUAUAUUCUUGCGUGAACUGAAAGAUCUCACACUUAAGCUU